UGAGGAUGAUCACCUGCAACAGAGUUCAAGCAUCGACUGCACGCCACCAAGAGUUGGGAAGAGAGUUAGGCUUACAUCAGCCUCGAGGGAGAGAUGAGACUUUCAGCAGAAGAGGAAUCCACAGUGGAGGGAUCGACUGCAGCCAACUUCCCAAGUGUCGCAGAAGGAUGAGGCUGAACUGGAUGCCGUGGUGAUGAAUCGUCAUCUCCCAUUCA